AUACGUAGGGUGCAAGCGUUAAUCGGAAUUACUAGGCGUAAAGCGUGCGCAGGCGGUUUUGUAAGACAGAGGUGAAAUCCCCGGGCUCAACCUGGGAACUGCCUUUGAGACUGCCAGGCUAGAGUUCGGCAGCGGGGGUUGGAAUUCCGGGUGUAGCAGUGAAAUGCGUAGAUAUGCGGAGGAACACCGAUGGCGAAGGCAAUCCCCUGGGCCUGUACUGACGCUCAUGCACGAAAGCGUGGGGAGCAAACAGGAUUAGAUACCCUGGUAGUCCACGCCCUAAACGAUGUCAACUGGUUGUUGGGUCUUCAGUGACUCAGUAACGAAGCUAACGCGUGAAGUUGACCGCCUGGGGAGUACGGCCGCAAGGUUGAAACUCAAAUGAAUUGACGGGG
rnacentral:rRNA from 1 species